GACGAACUUGGCGCCUCGGCCUUCGGGUGGUUAUUUUUGGGCGCCGCUUUGGCCGCGGCCUAUUUCUGGCACACGAAGGCCCCUCGCAAAGUCUCUCGGCAUUCCGAGUCCGGCGGACGAAGUUGGCCAGCCCCACCGCCCAAGGCUAUAGCCCACCCGUUUUUGUGGCCUUUUUCCGCUGGACGAACUUGGCGGCCCGGCCUUCGGGAGUUUAUUUUUGGGUGCGGCUUUGCUCGCGGCCUAUUUUUGGCACACGGAGGCCCCUCGCAAAGUCUCGCGCCAUUCCGAGUCCGGCGGACGAAGUUGGCCAGCCCCACCCCCCAAGGCUAUAGCCCACCCGUUUUUGUGGCCUUUUUCCGCUGGACGAACUUGGCGCCCCGGCCUUCGGGUGGUUAAUUUUGGGUGCGGCUUUGCCCGCGGCCUAUUUUUCAAGCACGGAGGCCCCUCGCAAAGUCUCGCGGCAUUCCGAGUCCGGCGGACGAAGUUGGCCAGCCCCACCCCCCAAGGCUAUAGCCCGCCCGUUUUUGUGGCCUUUUACCGCUGGACGAACUUGGCGCCCCGGCCGUCGGGUGGUUAUUUUUGGGCGCGGCUUUGCCAGCAGCCUAUUUUUGGCACACGGAGGCCCCUCGUAAAGUCUCACGGCAUUCCGAGUCUGGCGGACGAAGUUGGCCAGCCCCAACCCCCAAGGCUAUAGCCCACCCGUUUUUGUAGCCUUUUUCCGCUAGACGAACUUGGCGCCCCGGAACUUGCUGCUGCUACCUAUCUAUAAAAUGCACUACAAAAUUUUAUCACUAGAUAACAUAAAAUUUUGAACCACCAACCUUUUAAACAUCCCACGGCCUAUUUUUGGCACGCGGAGGCCCCUCGUAAAGUCUCGCGGCAUUCCGAGUCCGGCGGACGAAGUUGGCAAGCAUCACCCCCCAAGGCUAUAGCCCACCCGUUUUUGUGGCCUUUGUCCGCUGGACGAACUUGGCGCCCCGGCCGUCGGGUGGUUAUUUUUGGGCGCGGCUUUACCCGCGGCCUAUUUUUGGCACACGGAGGCCCCUCGCAAAGUCUCGCGGCAUUCCGAGUCCGGCGGACGAAGUUGGCCAGCCCCACCCCCCAAGGCAAUAGCCCACCUGUUUUUGUGGCCUUUUUCUGCUGGAGGAACUUGGCGCCCCAGCCUUCGUGCUGUUAAUUUUGGGCGCGGCUUUGUCCGCGGCCUAUUUUUGGCACACGGAGGCCCCUCGCAAAGUCUCGCGGCAUUCUGAGUCCGGCGGACGAAUUGUGGCCAGCCCCACCACCCAAGGCUAUAGCCCACCCUUUUUUGUGGCCUUUUUCCGCUGGACAAUCUUGGCCCCCCGGCCUUCGGGCGGUUAUUUUUGGGCACGGCUUUCCCCGCGGCCUAUUUUAGGCACACGGAGACACCUCGCAAAGUCUCGCGGCAUUCCAAGUCCGGCGGACAAAAUUGGCCAGCUCCACCCCCCAGGGUUAUAGCCCACCCAUUAUGGUGGCCUUUUUUCCACUGACGAAACUUGGCGCACCGGCUUUCGGGCAGUUAUUUUUGGGCGAGGAUUUUCGCGCGGCGUAUUUUUGGCACACGGACGCCCCUCGCAAAUUCUUGCGGCAUUCCGAGUCCGGCGGACAGGUGGGCCAGCCCCACCCCCAAGACUAUAGCCCACCCGUUUUUGUGCCCUUUUUCCGCUGGACAAACUUGGCGCCCCGGCCUUCGGGUGGUUAAUUUUGGGCGCGGCUUUGCCCACAGCCUAUUUUUGACACACGGAUGCCCCUCGCAAAGUCUCGCGGCAUUCCGAGUCCGGCGGACGAAGUUGGCCAGCAUCACCCCCCAAGGCUAUAGCCCACCCGUUUUUGUGGCCUUUGUCCGCUGGACGAACUUGGCGCCCCGGCCUUCGGGCGGUUAAUUUUGGGCGCGGCUUUGGCCGUGGCCUAUUUUUGGCACACGGAGGCCCCUCGCAAAGUCUCGCGGCAUUCCGAGUCCGGCGGACGAAGUUGGCCAGCAUCACCCCCCAAGGCUAUAGCGCACCCGUUUUUGUGGCCUUUUUGCGCUGGACGAACUUGGCGCCCUGGCCGUCGGGUGGUUAUUUUUUGGCGCGGCUUUGCCUGCGGCCUAUUUUUGGCACACAGAGGCCCCUCGCAAAGUCUCGUAGGAUUCCAAGUCCGGCGGACGAAGUUGGCCAGCCCCACCCGCCAAGGCUAUAGCCCACCCGUUUUUGUGGCCUUUUUCCGCUGGACGAACUUGGCGCCCCGGCNNNNNNNNNNNNNNNNNNNNNNNNNNNNNNNNNNNNNNNNNNNNNNNNNNNNNNNNNNNNNNNNNNNNNNNNNNNNNNNNNNNNNNNNNNNNNNNNNNNNGGGCGGUUAAUUUUGGCCGGGGCUUUGCCCGCGGCCAAUAUUUGGCACAGGGAGGCCCCUCGUAAAGUCUCGCGGCAUUCCGAGUCCGGCGGACGAAGUAGGCCAGCCCUACCCCCCAAGGCUAUAGCCCACCCGUUUUUGUGGCCUUUUUCCGCUGGACGAACUUGGCGCCUCGGCCUUCGGGCGGUUAUUUUUGGGCGCGGCUUUGCGCGCGGCCUAUUUUUGGCACACAGAGGCCCCUGCCAAAGUCUCCCGGCAUUCCGAGUCCGGCGGACGAAGUUGGCCAGCCCCACUCCCCAAGGCUAUAGCCCACCCGUUUUUGUGGCCUUUUUCCGCUGGACGAACUUGGCGCCCCGGCCUUCGGGCGGUUAUUUUUGGGCGCGGCCUAUUUUUGGUACACGGAGGCCCUUCGCAAUGUCUCGCGGCAUUCCGAGUCCGGCGGACGAAGUUGACCAGCCCCACCCCCCAAGGCUAUAGUCCACCCGUUCUUGUGGCCUUUUUCCGCUCGACGUACUUGGCGCCCCGGCCUUCGGGCGGUUAUUUUUGGGCGCGGCUUUGCCCGCGGCCUAUUUUUGGCAUACGGAGGCCCCUAGCGCAUGAUUAUUGGCAUAGAGAUGCAGGCAGACGAAGUUGGCCAGCAUCUUCCCCCAAGGCUAUAGCCCACCCGUUUUUGUUGCCUUUUUCCGCUGGACGAACUUGGCGCCCCAGCCGUCGGGUGGUUAUUUUUGGGCGCGGCUUUGCCCACGGCCUAUUUUUUGGCACACGGAGGCCCCUCGCAAAGUCUCGCGGCAUUCCGACUCCGGCGGACGAAGUUGGCCAGCAUCACCCCCAAAGGCUAUAGCCCACCCGUUUUUGUGGCCUUUUUCCGCUGGACGAACUUGGCGCCCCGGCCGUCGGGUGGUUAUUUUUGGGCGCGGCUUUCUCCGCGACCUGUUUUUGGCACACGGAGGCCCCUCGCAAAGUCUCGCGUCAUUCUGAGUCCGGCGGACGAAGUUGGCCAGCCCCACCCCCCAAGGCUAUAGCCCACCCGUUUUUGUGGCCUUUUUCCGCUGGACGAACUUGGCGCCCCGGCCUUCGAGCGGUUAUUUUUGGACGCGGCUUUGCCCGCUGCCUAUUUUUGGCAAACGGAGGCCCCUCGCAAAGGCUCGCGGCAUUCCGAAUCCGGCGGACGAAGUUGGCCAGCCCCACCCCCCAAGGCUAUAGCCCACCCGUUUUUGUGGCCUUUUUCCGCUGGACGAACUUGGCGCCCCGGCCGUCGGGUUGUUAUUUUUGGGAGCGGCUUUGCCCGCGGCCUUUUUUUGGCACACGGAGGCCCCUCGCAAAGUCUCGCGUCAUUCUGAGUCCGGCGGACGAAGUUGGCCAGCCCCACCCCCCAAGGCUAUAGCCCACCCGUUUUUGUGGCCUUUUUCCGCUGGACGUACUUGGCACCCCGGCCUUCGGGCCGUUAUUUUUAGGCGCGGCUUUGCCCGCGGCCUAUUUUUGGCAUACGGAGGCCCCUCGCAAAGUCUCGCGGCCUUCCGAGUCCGGUGGACGAAGUAGGCCGGCAUCACCCCCCAAGGCUAUAGCCCACCCGUUUUUGUGGCCUUUUUCCGCUGGACGAGCUUGGCGCCCCGGCCGUCGGGCGGUUAUUUUUGGGCGCGGUUUUGACCACGGCCUAAUUUUUGCACACGGAGGCCCCUUGCAAAGUCACGCGGCAUUCCGAGUCCAGCAGACGAAGUUGGCCAGCAUCACCCCCCAAAGCUAUAGCCCACCCGUUUUUGUGGCCUUUUUCCGCUGGACGAACUUGGCGCCCCGGCCUUCGGGCGGUUAUUUUUGGGUGUUGCUUUGCCCGCGGCCUAUUUUUGGGACACGGAGGCCCCUCGCAAAGUCUCGCGGCAUUCCGAGUCCGGCGGACGAAGUUGGCCAGCCCCACCCCCCAGGGCUAUAGCCCACCCGUUUUUGUGGCCUUUUUCCGCUGGACGUGCUUGGCGCCCCGGCCUUCGGGCGGUUAUUUUUGGGUGCGGCUUUUCCUGUGGCCUAAUUUUGGCACACGGAGGCCCCUGGCAAAGUCUCACGGCAUUCCAAGUCCGGUGGACGAAGUUGGCCAGCCCCACCCCCCAAGGCUAUAGCCCACCCGUUUUUGUGUCCUUUUUCCGCUGGACGAACUUGGCGCCCCGGCCCUCGGGUGGUUAAUUUUGGGCGUGGCUUUGCCCGCAGCCUAUUUUUGGCACACGGAGGCCCCUCGCAAAGUCUCGCGGCAUUCCGAGUCCGGCGGAAGAAGUUGGCCAGCAUCACCCCCCAAGGCUAUAGCCCCCCCGUUUUUGUGGCCUUUUUCCGCUGGACGAACUUGGCGCCCCGGCCUUCGGGCGGUUAAUUUUGGGCGCGGCUUGGCCCACGGCCUAUUUUUGGCACACGGAGGCCCCUCACAAAGUCUCGCGGCAUUCCGAGUCCGGCGGACAAAGUUGGCCAGCAUCAACCCCCAAGGCUAUAGCCCACCCGUUUUUGUGGCCUUUUUCCGCUGGACGAACUUGGCGGCCCGGCCUUCGGCGGUUAUUUUUGGGCGCGGCUUUGCCCCCGGCCUAUUUUUGGCAAACGGAGGCCCCUCGCAAAGUCUCGCGGCAUUCUGAGUCCGGUGGACGAAGUUGGCCAGCCCCACCCCCCAAGGCUAUAGCCCACCCGUUUUUGUGGCCUUUUUCCGCUGGACGAACUUGGCACACCAGCCUUCGGGUGGUUAAUUUUGGGCGCGGCUUUGCCCGAAGCCUAUUUUUGGCACACGGAGGCCCCUCGCAAAGUCUCGCGGCAUUCCGAGUCCGGCGGACGAAGUUGGCCAGCAUCACCCCCCAAGGCUAUAGCCCACCCGUUUUUGUGGCCUUUUUCCGCUGGACGAACUUGGCGCCCCGGCCUUCGGGCGGUUAAUUUUGGGUGUGGCUUUGUCCGCGGCCUAUUUUUGGCACACGGAGGCCCCUCGCAAAGUCUCGCGGCAUUCCGAGUCCGGCGGACGAAGUGGGCCAGCCCCACCCCCCCAGGCUAUAGCCCACCUGUUUUUGUGGACUUUUUCCGCUGGAUGANNNNNNNNNNNNNNNNNNNNNNNNNNNNNNNNNNNNNNNNNNNNNNNNNNNNNNNNNNNNNNNNNNNNNNNNNNNNNNNNNNNNNNNNNNNNNNNNNNNNNNNNNNNNNNNNNNNNNNNNNNNNNNNNNNNNNNNNNNNNNNNNNNNNNNNNNNNNNNNNNNNNNNNNNNNNNNNNNNNNNNNNNNNNNNNNNNNNNNNNNNNNNNNNNNNNNNNNNNNNNGCUUUGCCCGCAGCCAAUUUUGCCACACGGAGGCCCCUCGCAAAAGUCUCGCGGCAUUCCGAGUCCGGCGGACGAAGUUGACCAGCAUCACCCCCCAAGGCUAUAGCCCACCCGUUUUUGUGGCUUUUUUCCGCUGGACGAACUUGGCGCCCCGGCGUUCGGGCGGUUAAUUUUGGGCGCGGCUUUGCCCGCAGCCUAUUUUUGGCAUACGGAGGCCCCUCGCAAAGUCUCGCGGCAUUCGGAGUCCGGCGGACGAAGUGGGCCAGCAUCACCCCCCAAGGCUAUAGCCCACCCGUUUUUCUGGCCUUUUUCCGCUGGACGAACUUGGCGCCCCGGCCUUCGGGCUGUUAAUUUUGGGCUUGACUUUGUCCGCGGCCUAUUUUUGGCACAUGGAGGCCCCUCGCAAAGUCUCGUGGCAUUCCGAGUCCGGCGGACGAAGUUGGCCAGCCCCACCCCCCAAGGCUAUUGGCCACUUGUUUUUGUGGCCUUUUUCCGCUGGACGAACUUGGCGCGCCGGCCUUCGGGCGGUUAUUUUUGGGCACGGCUUUGGCCGCGGCCUAUUUUUUGCACACGGAGGCCCCUCGCAAAGUCUCGCGGCAUUCCGAGUCCGGCGGACGAAUUUUGGCCAGCCCCACCACCCAAGGCUAUAGCCCACCCGUUUUUGUGGCCUUUUUCCGCUGGACGAACUUGGCGCCCCGGCCUUCGGGCGGUUAUUUUUGGGCGCGGCUUUGCCCGCGGCCUAUUUUUGGCACACGGAGAACCCUCCGAAAGUCUCGCGGCAUUCCGAGUCCGGCGGACGAAGUUGGCCAGCCCCACCCCCCAAGGCUAUAGCCCACCCGUUUUGGUGGCCUUUUUCCGCUGGACGAACUUGGCGUCCCGGCCUUCGGGCAGUUACUUUUGGGCGCGGCUUUGCCCGCGGCCUAUUUUUGGCACACGGAGGCCCCUCGCAAAGUCUCGCGCCAUUCCGAGUCCGGCGGACAGGUUGGCCAGCCCCAACCCCAAGGCUAUAGCCCACCCGUUUUUGAGGCCUUUUUCCGCUGGACGAACUUGGCGCCCCGGCCUUCGGGCAGUUAUUUUUGGGCGCGGCUUUGCCCGUGGCCUAUUUUUGGCACACGGAGGCCCCUCGUAAAGUCUCGCGGCAUUCCGAGUCCGGCGGAAAGGUUGGCCAGCCCCACCCCCAAGGCUAUAGCCCACCCGUUUUGGCGGCCUUUUUCCGCUGGACGAACUUGGCGCCCCGGCAUUCGGGCAGUUAUUUUUGGGCGCGGCUUUGCCCCCGGCCUAUUUUUGGCACACGGACGCCCCUCGCAAAGUCUCGCGGCAUUCCGAGUCCGGCGGACGAGGUCGGCCAGCCCCACCCCCCAAGGCUAUAGCCCACCCGUUUUUGUGGCCUUUUUCCGCUGGACGAACUUGGCGCCCCGGGCUUCGGGUGGUUAAUUUUGGGCUCGGCUCUGCCCGCAGCCUAUUUUUUGCACACGGAGGCCCCUCGUAAAGUCUCGCAGCAUUCCGAGUCCGGCGGACGAAGUGGGCCAGCAUCACCCCCCAAGGCUAUAGCCCACCCGUUUUUGUGGCCUUUUUCCGCUGGACGAACUUGGCGCCCCGGCCUUCGGGCUGUUAAUUUUGGGCUCGACUUUGUCCGCGGCCUAUUUUUGGCACAUGGAGGCCCCUCGCAAAGUCUCGCGGCAUUCCGAGUCCGGCGGACGAAGUUGCCCAGCCCCACCCCCCAAGGCUAUAGCCCACCCGUUUUGGUGGCCUUUUUCCGCUGGACGAACUUGGCGCCCCGGCCUUCGGGCGGUUAUUUUGGGCG
rnacentral:lncRNA from 1 species